rnacentral:rRNA from 1 species
ACGAACGCUGGCGGCGUGUUUAACACAUGCAAGUCGAACGGAAAGGCCCUGCUUGCAGGGUACUCGAGUGGCGAACGGGUGAGUAACACGUGGGUGAUCUGCCCUGCACUUCGGGAUAAGCCUGGGAAACUGGGUCUAAUACCGGAUAGGAGCCAUUUUUAGUGUGAUGGUUGGAAAGUUUUUUCGGUGUAGGAUGAGCUCGCGGCCUAUCAGCUUGUUGGUGGGGUAAUGGCCUACCGAGGCGGCGACGGGUAGCCGGCCUGAGAGGGUGGACGGCCACAUUGGGACUGAGAUACGGCCCAGACUCCUACGGGAGGCAGCAGUGGGGAAUAUUGCACAAUGGGCGCAAGCCUGAUGCAGCGACGCCGCGUGGGGGAUGACGGCCUUCGGGUUGUAAACUCCUUUCGCUAGGGACGAAGCUUUUUGUGACGGUACCUAGAUAAGAAGCACCGGCUAACUACGUG